rnacentral:misc_RNA from 1 species
GUGAAUCAUCAAAUCUUUGAACGCAUAUUGCACUCUCUUCGGAGAGUAUGCCUGUUUGAGGGUCAGCCUAAAAAAAAUCGACAUAGUUGCUGUUUCGCAGUGACAUUCGUCGGAAAUUGGGUCAUCUUAAACCUUUGGGUUUUUUAAGCAGCUUAAAGUUUUCUUUACGAUUCCACGAACGUUUCUAAGAUUUUACUUCUUACACACGUUUAAGGUAUCGAUCUUUAUUAGACGUGGCCGUUGCAUCGGAUCGCUUCCAUAAAUAUUUCAUUAACUGACCUCAUACAGGUAAU